rnacentral:rRNA from 1 species
UACGAAGGGGGCUAGCGUUGUUCGGAAUCACUGGGCGUAAAGGGCGCGUAGGCGGCUUUAUAAGUCGGGGGUGAAAGCCUGUGGCUCAACCACAGAAUUGCCUUCGAUACUGUAGAGCUUGAGACCGGAAGAGGUAAGUGGAACUGCGAGUGUAGAGGUGAAAUGCGCAGAUAUCAGGAGGAACACCCGUGGCGAAAGCGGCUCUCUGGGACGGUACUGACGCUGAGACGCGAAAGCGUGGGGAGCAAACAGG